UCAUCUUUCUCUAACAUAGUACAGGAGGGUCUAGGAGAUGAAGAUUCCGGGUCAGGAGCAGGAUUUAGACUGGCUAAGGAAAAAGCAAAAGCCAGACUCUUUGAACUUCCAUCUGUCCAAGAUGGUGAAUUUUACCAAGUUCCAAAGUUUGAAAAUCCUCCAGGAUCAGAUCAACACAAAGGGCACGUGACACCAGAUUGGAUCAUCAUUAUGGGUUUUGUUGUUGGCGUUGCAGCUCUGGUGAUGCUUUGUGCUGCUAUCGCUACCAGAGACAAGUGGAAUGCGCCGAGACAAGCAUCAAGUCCAGAAACCGAAGUUGACUCCUCACAGGGGCAGAAACCAGAAAAUGAAGCCUUCCUUCAAAAAGAC